CGAUGGCUGCUUAUUUUGACACAAUAACACAGACUUUCACAGCGCUUGAGACUUCAUGUAAUAACAGUAUGGUCCUAUGGAUUUCAGUACCAAAACUGAUUUUCUACCGUUUUUCUUCCAAGAAAGUUCUGAACAGCUGAAUCCUGGAUCAGCCUAGAUGUUAUUUCACUGGAUUAUUUAAUGAAUAUUACUCUACUGAGUUACCUGGUUACAUGGAUCAGCUAAGAUGUUGUUUCACUGGAUUAUUUAAUUGGGCAUAUAAUUGGAUAAUUCUGUCCUCAACCUGGAAGAUAUGUUUUGUUCCUAACCAUCUAUAAUCCAUUCUCUAUGAAGUUCAGCCUGUCUGCCCAAAUUCCUUUGGAAAUACAUAGUUAGUCAACCAACAUAGAAACAAUCAAACUUGAAGUCCUCAACCUGGAAGAUAUGUUUUAUUCCUAACCAUCUAUAAUCCAUUCUCUAUGAAGUUCAGCCUGUCUGCCCAAAUUCCUUUGGAAAUACAUAGUUAGUCAACCAACAUAGAAACAAUCAAACUUGAAGUCCUCAACCUGGAAGAUAUGUUUUAUUCCUAACCAUCUAUAAUCCAUUCUCUAUGAAGUUCAGCCUGUCUGCCCAAAUUCCUUUGGAAAUACAUAGUUAGUCAACCAACAUAGAAACAAUCAAACUUGAAGGAUUCUCUAGUGAGAGGUUAUGGAAAUGAUCUAUGUCUACUCUUAGAAUGGUGAAAGACUCUCAGAUUAUGCAAAGACUAACAGAAUAUCCUCUCUUGGAACACUGAAACAAGAAAACCAAACUUAAGAGGAUGCAGGAUUUAAGAAGAACAUAAAUAUGAUUUCCAUCGAAUUUAACCAGUACGAUCAUAGACUGUGGUUUAUACAGGAUGACAAAGAAAGGACCCAGGAUUGUAUGUUUCACUGUCAGACACUGACUAUGGAUAAAGUGUAAUCAUUUAUCAAACUGAGAUCUAGUCAAAUCAAGUAUUGAAAAUAUGAUUUUCUGAUAGCAUGAGCUCUUUAAAAACUAUUUCUCACUGACCUCAAAGUAUCUGAAUGUGACUUUUAUUUUUACCAAUUCAUAUUGAAGACUGUUGUUAUGUAUGGGAAUUACACAUUUAAACCUUUUAUUUUUCAUCUAAUUUUUACAACCCCCUAGAAAUUACACAGAUAUCCAGAUGCUGGAUUUAAUGGUAUUAUUUAACUUUCCUGGAAUUGUAAAUAUAU